GUGGGGAAUAUUGGGCAAUGGAGGAAACUCUUACCCAGCAAUGCCGCGUGAGUGAUGAAGGUCUUAUGGAUUGUAAAGCUCUUUGAUUGGGGACGAAUAAAUGACGGUACCCAAAGAACAAGCCCCGGCUAACUAUGUGCCAGCAGCCGCGGUAAUACAUAGGGGGCGAGCGUUGUCCGGAAUGACUGGGCGUAAAGGGUGUGUAGGCGGUUUAUCAAGUUAGAAGUGUAAUACCUAGGGCUUAACUCAGGUGCUGCUUCUAAAACUGAUAGACUUGAGUGUGGGAGAGGAUGAUGGAAGUCCUAGUGUAGCGGUGGAAUGCAUAGAUAUUAGGAGGAACACCAGAGGCGAAGGCGAUCGUCUGGACCAUAACUGACGCUGAGGCACGAAAGCGUGGGGAGCAAACAGGAUUAGAUACCCUGGUAGUCC
rnacentral:rRNA from 1 species